CUUUGGAAAUUUCUAGCUUGAGCCCAAACUAAAGAAGUUGUCUUCCUCUGAAUCAUGGAAAAAUAUACUUGCCUGCAGAAAAUGAGUGAUAAAAAGAUUUGAACUCUUGAAAACAGACAGCUCAUUUGAAUUUUUAGUACAGUCUUGGUUGCCAGGAAUUCUUACUUUUUGCAAAAUUUUUCUGGACUUGAAUGCACUGAAUGUCUGAACUGAGUGACUGCUGAAGACAUACUGCUUGAAGCAAGCUGGUAAUAUAUGACUCCAAGGUGGAAACAACAGCAGAUAUGUUGGGUCAGCAAAAAUAUGUUAGGAGUUGUUAUCUCUGACUAUAUUAAUAAGCAGACUUCUGUAAUGACUCAAAUGGCAAUAACUGCCACUUUUACUUAAAAAUUGCUCUAUGGAAAUAGGCUCCC